ensembl:lncRNA
GUUCCGGGAUGCUGCAAACAGAUGAAGUGAACAUCCUGCAGGAGCUUUCUUUUCAUAUCACAAACAGCAGUAAUGCCUCCAUGACUGUGGGUGAGAGCAAGUGUCUGGUCCUGCAGGUGGGACAGUACUCCACCUUGGCCCUCCCUCUGAGACAGAUCUUCAUCGAUGGGUUUGAAGAUAAGUUCAGUUUGCUGGUACAGUUGCGAAGUCCUCAGAGGGAAGAACGAAGUGUCUUCACUAUGCUCAGCGCCGACAAUCAUGUCAUGCUGCAGCUGCGGAUCAGUGCUCAUGCCAUCAUCUUCAUAGGAACGCAGCAGAGA